rnacentral:rRNA from 1 species
AGAGUUUGAUUCUGGCUCAGGAUGAACGCUGGCGGCGUGCCUAACACAUGCAAGUCGAACGGGGUGCUCUGGAUGAAGGUUCGCUGGAUUCUAGAAACACCUAGUGGCGGACGGGUGAGUAACGCGUGGGUAACCUGCCCUUUAGAGGUGAACAACAGUGAGAAAUCAUUGCUAAUACACCAUAUGCUUACAGAGUCGCAUGACUCAGUGAGGAAAGAAUUUCGCUAAAGGAUGGACCCGCGUUUGAUUAGCCAGUUGGUGGGGUAACGGCCUACCAAAGCGACGAUCAAUAGCCGGCCUGAGAGGGUGAACGGCCACAUUGGAACUGAGACACGGUCCAAACUCCUACGGGAGGCAGCAGUGGGGAGUAUUGCACAAUGGGCGCAAGCCUGAUGCAGCAACGCCGCGUGAGUGAAGAAGUAUUUCGGUAUGUAAAGCUCUAUCGAUGGGGAAUAAGAUGAAGGUACCCAAGUAAGAAGCCCCGGCUAACUACGUGCCAGCAGCCGCGGUAAUACGUAGGGGGCAAGCGUUAUCCGGAUUUACUGGGUGUAAAGGGAGCGUAGACGGAAUGGCAAGUUUGAAGUGAAAUACCUGUGCUUAACGCAGGAAUUGCUUUGAAAACUGUCAAUCUAGAGUACUGGAGGGGUAUGGGGAAUUCCUAGUGUAGUAGUGAAAUGCGUAGAUAUUAGGAGGAACACCGGAGGCGAAGGCGCCAUACUGGACAGAUACUGACGUUGAGGCUCGAAAGCGUGGGGAGCAAACAGGAUUAGAUACCCUGGUAGUCCACGCUGUAAACGAUGAAU